CAUGUAGAAUGUAAACCUCGGCCCUUCCGAGACCUGUGUGCUUUACGGCUCUGCAACGCGGGCAGCCCCGUGCCAGCUGUGACCGGCCACUGGAGACCGUGGGAGACCCACGCUGCGGGCACAGCCCAGGACGAGACCCGCACCCUGAGGACUUCCAGGCAGGGCGGGAGGCGUCUGCCAAAGAACGCCAUCGACCGAGUUAAAAAAGUCACUGAAGCUCUGUUCUUAGUUCCGAGCGGUGAUUUCUCAGUAACUGCAUGUUAUCGCGUUUCAAGAAUAGCCCAUGUCCGCAGAGUGGUGGCCAACCAGACCGCGUAGUCAACUCCUUUUCGCCAGCUGUUUCUGUAGGUAAAGGUGAUAGGGUCCCCGCCGGCUGGGCGACCACCGCCCACCCCCUCCACCUUCCAUGUUAAGCUAAGGAAGGGAGACAAAGAGGCUGACUAAUCCCCCUACUGCAGGUAUCCACGGCCCAGGCACCAUUUGUCAGAGGAAACGGGGACUUCCUCCAUGGCACAGCCAGGCUAACCCCAUCACCGGUCCUCACAGAUGAGUGCAGUGAGGAGGUGCUGCGUGUCAUUAUCCCGCCUCCCGGGAUGCCCACCAAGGGCCCAAGUUCCUUGCCCAAGGCGGCAGAGAAAACUGGAGACAGAGCAAGGAGCAGGGUCAGGCUUCCCUCCCCCGGCCCUGGGAAACACCGGCUCUCCCUCGUGCAGCUGCAACAUUCACUAUUUCUACCCAGUAAUUACGUGUGUGACAACUGUGACAACUCUCGCUGAGGUCGCCCGGCUGCUGGCGACCUUGGAUCUACAACAACAAUUACAGAAGACCCUAAAGCCAGCCCCAGGGAAUUACAAGUGCGCAAACCUCUUCCUCUGAGUGUGGGCAGAACCUGGAACUUGCCCUGAAUCACCGAUAUAUGGCAGCGGUGACGGAGAAAAUGAGAAAGCAAGCCACCAGGUCCAAGACCCGAAC